CACUAACCCUCCUUUUCCUUCCACCACAUCCCCCUCCCAUCCAAGAUUAAAUCACCUCCCACCUGGCACACCUCUGACAUUAAGGAUGACACGUGACUUUUAGAGGGACACAUAGCCGACCCAUAUUAUUCUGACCCUGAUACCCCAGAACCUCAUGUCCUUCUCACAGAGCAAAACACAAUCAUGCCUUUUCAAAAGUUUCCAAAAGUCUUAACUCAUUCCAAACGUAAAAAUUUCAAAGUCUCAUCUGAGACAAGGUUACGAUCCCUUCUGCCAAUGAGUCCCUGAAUUUAAAAGGGAUUUCUUUUCCUUCAAGGUACAAUAGGCAUUUGGUAAGUUUUCUCAAACCAAAGGGAAGAAAUUCCCCAGAAAAAUAACACAAAUGCAAGUCCAAACCCCAGCAGGACAGUAUUCAUUCAAUCUCACAGCUCCGUAAUCAUCAAGAGAACUCACUAUCAUGCAGACAGCAUUAAGGAGACAGUGUUAAACCAUUUACAAAGAAUCCAAUCCCCACCCUCAUCUUUCACCCCCAUCCACAAAAUAAUCUCCCCCAUUCUCCCCACACCCCUACUUCCAACACCCACUUUUCGCCAUGAUUAAAUCACCUCCCACGAGGCCCCAACUUUAACAUUCACCAUCACAAUUCCAUGAGAGUAUUGGUAGGGACAAAAAGUCAAAUAUUAUUCUGACUCGGGUCUCCCCCAACCUCAUAUCCUUGUCACACUACAAAAUACAAUGAUGCCUUCUGUACAGUCCCCCAAAGUCUUAACUCAUUCCAGCAUUUACUGAAAUGCCCAAAGCCCAGAGUCUCAUCUGAGACAAGUCUACAGUCCCUUCUGCUCAUGAGCCACUGAAUUAUAUAUAAAGCAAGUUUACUACUUCCAAGGUGCAAUGAUUGUACAGGCGUUGGGUAAGCAUUCCCAGCCAAAAGGAAAAAAAUUGCCAGAAAGAAGCACAAAAAACAGAUGGGACUUACAGACCCCAUGCAAGUCAAAAACCCAGCAGGCCAGUCAUUGAAUCCUACAGCUCCCAAGUCAUCUUUUCUG
rnacentral:lncRNA from 1 species